rnacentral:misc_RNA from 1 species
AACUUUUAGCAACGGAUCACUUGGUUCUCGCAACGAUGAAGAACGCAGCGAAAUGCGAUAAGUAGUGUGAAUUGCAGAAUUCAGUGAAUCAUCAAAUCUUUGAACGCACAUUGCGCUUCCUGGCAUUCCGGGGAGCAUGCUCGUUUCAGAAUCAUUAAAACUCUCAUGACCUUGGGUGUGCACUUUGCGGUGUCUCCCAGGCAAGUGAAUUUGAGCUUGUUUUGCCAGUCAACCUGGCAAUAGCUUUGAAAUGAUUGCGUGUGUCGACCCUCAAAUUGAGGUUGCGUGAUCUUACCAGUGCAACAGGUAACAAUGCUACGCUGGUUGAGAUCUCGUGUCUGGCAAUGCACGUUCCAUCUUUACACAGAUCUGGGUGUGGAUUCUCCCACCAAAUCUGACAACUUGGUCUGAAAUCGAGCAAGAAAACCCGCUGAACUUAAGCAUAUCAAUAAGCGGAGGCU